UCAGAAACUGGUCCAUUUUGGAACAAAAGCAGCCCCCCCAGAUGUCAGGUCUUGUCUUAGCGUCAAGCUAAAAAUUAAUAAAUCGUCAAGUAAAAUGGUUUCAAAUGUCAAAUUGAAUAUUUUACGUGACGAAAAUGAAACGUCAAACAAUCUACGUGAAUUUCCAUUGUGAAAAACUUGAUUUUGAAAAUGGCGAACAGUGGCCCUCAAAGUUAUGGAAGUUUCCAUGUGUUCAACAGAACCGAGUUCAAAAUCGGCAUGAAGCUAGAUACACUUCAACCAUGUAAUGCGCCAUCAAACUGCAUCGGUAGUGUUGGGGGAGUUCUCGGAUCUCGACUUCGGCUUCGGUUGGAUGGCAGUGACAACAAAAACGAUUUCUGGAGGCUUGUCGAUUUGAGAUACCACGACGUUAUUAGUUGCUUUUUAAGCUAUUGAAAUUCGAUGCUAAUUUUCUGAAAUAAAUGGUUUAUUUUUCAUGGUAUUUUUAA